rnacentral:rRNA from 1 species
UACGGGGGGGGCAAGCGUUGUUCGGAAUUACUGGGCGUAAAGGGUCCGUAGGUGGCUUGCUAAGUCAGACGUGAAAUCCCCGGGCUCAACCUGGGAACUGCAUCUGUGACUGCAUCGCUGGAGUGCAGCAGAGGGGGAUGGAAUUCCGCGUGUAGCAGUGAAAUGCGUAGAUAUGCGGAGGAACACCGAUGGCGAAGGCAGCCCCCUGGGCCGACAUUGACGCUCAGGCACGAAAGCGUGGGGAGCAAACAGG